rnacentral:tmRNA from 2 species
GGGGAUGUACAGAAUCGAUGAGGAAUUUGCACGUUUACAAAUGGUUAGGGCGUACUAGAACGUCACUCAGGAAAAAUCUAACUGCAGAUGAACAAUCACAUGCAGCCGAAGCUUUUGCCUACAGCAAUGCUUAUAGCAAUAACAUGCAAUUUGCGUUUGCCUAAGUAAAACUUUAGCCUCGAUAUUAGUUUCCCUUGAUUCUACUAAUAUUUGAGGUAAACCAAUCAAGGUGAGGCAACAUUACAUUUUCAGUUGGUAAUGAAGUCGAAAAACCCAUAACUGACUGUCAGACAGUAGUUUGUUUGUUUACUUUGUCCGACAUGCGUGAAAACAAUCUAUCCCUAACUAAACCUUUGUAUUUGUGUUUCUUCAGACGGGGGCUCAACACCCCCCAUCUCCACAC